rnacentral:rRNA from 1 species
UAUCUCUGUAGAGUCUGCAUAUCAAUAAGCGGAGGAAAAGAAACUAACAAGGAUUCCCUUAGUAACGGCGAGUGAAGCGGGAAGAGCUCAAAUUUGAAAUCUUCAAGGUUCUACCUUGACGAAUUGUAGUUUAAAGAAGUGUUUUCUGUUAGAUGAGUAGCAAAAGUUCCUUGGAAUGGGACAUCAUAGAGGGUGAGAAUCCCGUAUUUGACCGUUAUUUUCAGCUGUGUGAUACACUUUCAAAGAGUCGGAUUGUUUGGGAAUGCAGUCCAAAAUGGGUGGUAAAUUUCAUCUAAAGCUAAAUAUUGGCGAGAGACCGAUAGCGAACAAGUACCGUGAGGGAAAGAUGAAAAGAACUUUGAAAAGAGAGUUAAACAGUACGUGAAAUUGUCAAAAGGGAAGCGUUUGACACCAGUGUUGUUUUUCCGAAAAUCAAUUACGAAUGGCUUGAUUUUGUGUUGUAUUGACCUUAUCAGCUUUCUGCACUUUUUUCGAGUCUUUCUUAAUGCACUUUUCGGUUAACAAGUCAACAUCAAUUUCUUUUGUUGUAAAAGAGUAUUCGGAAGGUGGCUUUCUUUUCGGAGAAAGUGUUUAUAGCCCUUAUGCUUCUACAAUCGGAGAGAUUGAGGUCUGCAGCGUAGAUCCUUCGGGGCUAGAUACAUUAGAUGCUAAGUUGUAGUUUUUCAUAGACAACUUGUUGACUAUGAUUAAGUCAUGUAGGCUUACUCGUUUGCUGCUAUUUUACCUACGCUUAGGAUGUUGACUGAUAUGUAGUCGU